UACGAAGGGUGCAAGCGUUAAUCGGAAUUACUGGGCGUAAAGGGUGCGUAGGCGGUUAGUUAAGUCUGUUGUGAAAUCCCCGGGCUCAACCUGGGAAUGGCAAUGGAUACUGGCUGGCUAGAGUGUGUCAGAGGAUGGUGGAAUUCCCGGUGUAGUGGUGAAAUGCGUAGAUAUCGGGAGGAACACCAGUGGCGAAGGCGACUUCCUGGCCUGUUCUUGACGCUGAGGCGCGAAAGCUAGGGUAGCAAACGGG
rnacentral:rRNA from 1 species